GACAGAGGGUGCAAACGUUGUUCGGAAUCACUGGGCGUAAAGCGCGUGUAGGCUGCUAUGCAAGUCGGGCGUGAAAUCCCACGGCUCAACCAUGGAAGUGCACUCGAAACUGCAUAGCUGGAGUCCUGGAGAGGAAGGUGGAAUGCUCGGUGUAGAGGUGAAAUUCGUAGAUAUCGAGCGGAACACCGGUGGCGAAGGCGGCCUUCUGGACAGUGACUGACGCUGAAACGCGAAAGCGUGGGGAGCAAACAGG
rnacentral:rRNA from 1 species